UGCUAGUCGCGCGGUGUUAGACCCGCGGCAUAUAGCUCAGUAACACGUGGCCAAACUACCCUACGGACCGCGAUAACCUCGGGAAACUGAGGCCAAUAGCGGAUAUCACUCUCACGCUGGAGUGCCGAGAGUGAGAAACGUUCCGGCGCUGUAGGAUGUGGCUGCGGCCGAUUAGGUAGAUGGGGGGGUAAUGGCCCCCCAUGCCCAUAAUCGGUACAGGUUGUGACAACAAGAGCCUGGAGACGGUAUCUGAAACAAGAUACCGGGCCCUACGGGGCGCAACAGGGGCGAAACCUUUACACUGCACGAGAGUGCGAUAGGGGGACUCCGAGUGCGAGGGCAUAUAGUCCUCGCUUUUCUGAACCGUAAGGUGGUUCAGGAACAAGUGCUGGGCAAGACCGGUGCCAGCCGCCGCGGUAAUACCGGCAGCACGAGUGAUGGCCGAUAUUAUUGGGCCUAAAGCGUCCGUAGCUUGCUGUGUAAGUCCAUUGGGAAAUCCACGCGCUCAACGCGUGGGCGUCCGGUGGAAACUGCACGGCUUGUGGCCGAGAGACUCAACGAGUACGUCCGGGGUAGGAGUGAAAUCCUGUAAUCCUGGACGGACCACCAAUGGGGAAACCACGUUGAGAGACCGGACCCGACAGUGAGGGACGAAAGCCAGGGUCUCGAACCGGAUUAGAUACCCGGGUAGUCCUGGCUGUAAACGAUGCUCGCUAGGUAUGUCACGCGCCAUGAGCGCCUGAUGUGCCGUAGUGAAGACGAUAAGCGAGACGCCUGGGCAGUACGUCCGCAAGAUGAACUUAA
rnacentral:rRNA from 1 species